rnacentral:lncRNA from 1 species
CACGAUGUUUCUUUUCCUUGUAAGAACGAUGUGUCGCUUUGGCUCGUUGGUGUUUUUCUCGUCUUGUUUCCCUCUCUUAGGUUUUGUAGACAUGUCUUUCACAUAGAACACCUGAUUCACAUUAGUACCGAGGACGAAUGAUCGUUUGUAUAUCCAAUAUUGUUGAGGUCCACUGUUGUCAUUCCGUACUCCUUAUCGACUGAUACCCCUCCUUUCAUCUUCACCCAUUGGCAUCGGAAUAAAGGGACUUUAAAAUUAUGUGCAUAGUCUAGUUCCCAAAUCUCCUCUAUACGACCAUAAUAUGUGUGCCUGUCCCCAUUCGUGUCCGUGGCAUCCACACGGACACCACUGUUUUGGUUGGUACUCUUUUUAUCUUGUGAUACGGUGUAAAAUGUAUUUCCAUUUAUCUCGUACC